GAUGAACGCUGGCGGCGUGCCUAAUACAUGCAAGUCGAGCGAACAGACGAGGAGCUUGCUCCUCUGACGUUAGCGGCGGACGGGUGAGUAACACGUGGAUAACCUACCUAUAAGACUGGGAUAACUUCGGGAAAUCGGAGCUAAUACCGGAUAAUAUAUUGAACCGCAUGGUUCAAUAGUGAAAGACGGUUUUGCUGUCACUUAUAGAUGGAUCCGCGCCGCAUUAGCUAGUUGGUAAGGUAACGGCUUACCAAGGCAACGAUGCGUAGCCGACCUGAGAGGGUGAUCGGCCACACUGGAACUGAGACACGGUCCAGACUCCUACGGGAGGCAGCAGUAGGGAAUCUUCCGCAAAGGGCGAAAGCCUGACGGAGCAACGCCGCGUGAGUGAUGAAGGUCUUCGGAUCGUAAAACUCUGUUAUUAGGGAAGAACAAAUGUGUAAGUAACUAUGCACGUCUUGACGGUACCUAAUCAGAAAGCCACGGCUAACUACGUG
rnacentral:rRNA from 1 species